AACGAACGCUGGCGGCAGGCUUAACACAUGCAAGUCGAGCGCCCCGCAAGGGGAGCGGCAGACGGGUGAGUAACGCGUGGGAAUCUACCCAUCUCUACGGGAUAACGCAUGGAAACGUGUGCUAAUACCGUAUACGUCCUUCGGGAGAAAGAUUUAUCGGAGAUGGAUGAGCCCGCGUUGGAUUAGCUAGUUGGUGGGGUAAAGGCCUACCAAGGCGACGAUCCAUAGCUGGUCUGAGCAGAUGAUCAGCCACACUGGGACUGAGACACGGCCCAGACUCCUACGGGAGGCAGCAGUGGUGAAUAUUGGACAAUGGGCGCAAGCCUGAUCCAGCCAUGGCGCGUGAGUGAUGAAGGCCCUAGGGUUGUAAAGCUCUUUCACCGGUGAAGAUAAUGACGGUAACCGGAGAAGAAGCCCCGGCUAACUUCGUGCCAGCCGCCGCAGUAAAAC
rnacentral:rRNA from 1 species